AUUGAACGCUGGCGGCAUGCCUUACACAUGCAAGUCGAACGGCAGCAUGAUCUAUCUUGCUAGAUUGAUGGCGAGUGGCGAACGGGUGAGUAAUACAUCGGAACGUGCCCUGUAGUGGGGGAUAACUAGUCGAAAGAUUAGCUAAUACCGCAUACGUCCUGAUGGUGAAUGUGGGGGACCGCAAGUCCUCAUGCUAUAGGAGCCGCCGCUGUCUGCUUAGCUAGUUGGUGAGGUAAAGGCUCACCAAGGCGACGAUCAGUAGCUGGUCUGAGAGGACGAUCAGGCACACGGGGAAGGAGAAACGGAAAAGAGGAAUAAGGGAGGCACGAGAGGGGAAUUGGGGACAAAGGGAGAAAGAAUGAUACAGCAAUGCGGCGUGGGUGAAGAAGGCGUUGGGGUUGUAAAGCAGGUCUGACCGGAGAGAAAUGGCUCUGGUUAAUACCUGGCGUAGAUGACGGUACCGGAAGAAGAAGAACCGGCUAACUAAGUG
rnacentral:rRNA from 1 species